GACGUAGGGAGCGAGCGUUGUCCGGAUUCAUUGGGCGUAAAGAGCGCGCAGGCGGUUUGGUAAGUCGGAUGUGAAAACCCGGGGCUCAACCCCGGGCGUGCAUCUCGAUACUGCCCGACUAGAGGUAGGUAGGGGAGAUCGGAAUUCCGUGGUGUAGCGGUGGAAAUGCGACAGAUAAUCAGGAGGAACACCGGUGGCGAAGGCGGAUCUCUGGGCCUUACCUGACGCUCAGGCGCGAAAGCUAGGGGAGCGAACAGG
rnacentral:rRNA from 1 species